AUUGAACGCUGGCGGCAGGCUUAACACAUGCAAGUCGAGCGGAGUGAUGGUGCUUGCACUAUCACUUAGCGGCGGACGGGUGAGUAAUGCUUAGGAAUCUGCCAUUUAGUGGGGGACAACAUUCCGAAAGGAAUGCUAAUACCGCAUACGUCCUACGGGAGAAAGCAGGGGAUCUUCGGACCUUGCGCUAAAUGAUGAGCCUAAGUCGGAUUAGCUAGUUGGUGGGGUAAAGGCCUACCAAGGCGACGAUCUGUAGCGGGUCUGAGAGGAUGAGCCGCCACACUGGGACUGAGACACGGCCCAGACUCCUACGGGAGGCAGAAGUGGGGAAUAUUGGACAAUGGGCGGAAGCCUGAUCCAGCCAUGCCACGUGUGUGAAGAGGGCCUUUUGGUUGUAAAGCACUUUAAGCGAGGAGGAGGCUACUAGUACUAAUACUACUGGAUAGUGGACGUUACUCGCAGAAUAAGCACCGGCUAACUCUGUGCCAGCCGCCGCCGUAAAAC
rnacentral:rRNA from 1 species